rnacentral:rRNA from 1 species
UACGGGGGGGCAAGCGUUGUUCGGAAUUACUGGGCGUAAAGGGCUCGUAGGCGGCCAACUAAGUCAGACGUGAAAUCCCUCGGCUUAACCGGGGAACUGCGUCUGAGACUGGAUGGCUCGAGUGUGGGAGAGGGAUGCGGAAUUCCAGGUGUAGCGGUGAAAUGCGUAGAUAUCUGGAGGAACAUCGGUGGCGAAGGCGGCAUCCUGGACCAUGACUGACGCUGAGUGAGCGAAAGCCAGGGGAGCAAACGGG